GAUGAAGAACGUAGCGAAAUGCGAUACGUAAUGUGAAUUGCAGAAUUCCGUGAAUCAUCGAAUCUUUGAACGCACAUUGCGCCCCCUGGCAUUCCGGGGGGCAUGCCUGUCCGAGCGUCAUUUCUGCCCUCCAGCCCGGCUGGGUGUUGGGCGCUGUCCCCCCGGGGACACGCCCCAAAGGCAGUGGCGGCGCCGCGUCGGGUCCUCGAGCGUAUGGGGCUUUGUCACCCGCUCGGGACGGACUCGUCGGCGCUGGUCUUCCUCCAGGCGACCCUUCGGGGCUCGUCUUCCUUCGGUUGACCUCGGAUCAGGUAGGGUUACCCGCUGAACUUAAGCAUAUCAAUAAGCGGAGG
rnacentral:misc_RNA from 1 species